GAAGACUAUCAUAAAGCCAGUCCCAAACUCACCAAGUGUAUUCUAAGACUUUCAGGUCCCAGCCAGACCAGGUCCCAGGACAGCUAUGGAUGAACUCCAACCCCACUUCCAGAUAGGAGCAUACAGACAAGUUCCCCACUACCCUCCACUGGGAAGAUGUCAAAACUUGGAAGUCCUCACCCAGCAGUCUCCUCUUUCUCAUCAUGGAGUCGUUUAAGGAUGUCCAAUAAAGAGAUAAACUGAACACAGAAAUUGCAGCGUACGUGGCCUUCAGGUUGAAUCAGACCCCAAAACACAGUAUAUUUUGCUUGGCUAGCUCAACAUUUUAAAUUUGGAAGACUUCAUA